GACAGCUUGGCCGAGUGGUUAAGGCGCUAGCCUGCUAAGUUAGUGGGGAAACCCGCGUGAGUUCGAAUCUCACAGCUGUCG
rnacentral:tRNA from 1 species